AAUAUGAAUCAGAACUGGUCACCGGGAAAACAGCUGUUUUUCAGCGACAUCAGAGCCGCUCCUCACCUGCUCAGGUGUUGGUUCAGAUAUUUAUCAGUUUUUUUUGACAGCGGAGCGGCUUUAAACCCAAACAAAGAGAUUUAAACCCUGACGGAGCGAACCACCGGCUUCAGUAUGGCUUUCAAUAAAUCCAAUGUAUCCGCGGUUUUCAUCGUUCUCGGGGUGCUCGCGGUGUUCUUUGGCAUAGUUCUGGUCUUUGUGGGACCGAUAGUCAUCGAUGACCAGGUAGUAAAGAACACAAUGAUUGAUCCAAAUAAUGAGCUCUCCUACACCAUGUGGAAGGACCUCCCAGUGCCCUUCUUCAUGUCGGUCUACUUCUUCAACGUGCUGAAUCCUGAGGAGAUCCUGAAAGGAGAGAAGCCCAUGGUGGAGGAGAGAGGGCCUUACGUGUACAGAAAGAAGUGUCAGAAGGAAAAUAUCACUUUUCACCCCAACGGGACCGUGUCCUACAUAGAGUUCAGAAAAUACUUCUUCGAGCGCUCCAUGUCUGUAGGAAACGAGUCGGACAUCGUCACUAUUCCCAACAUGCUGGUUCUGGGUGCAUCAGUGAUGAUGCAGGACAUGCCCUACGUGCUACGUUUGUUGGUCAGCUCCACCUUCAAGAACUUCAAGGAGGGUCCCUUCCUGACCAAGACGGUGGGAGAGUUGAUGUGGGGUUAUGAGAGUAAACUAGUUGAAUUCCUUAACCGGUACCUGCCUGGCAUGUUGCCCACAUCAGGAAAGUUUGGCCUAUUUGUAGAAUUCAACAACUCUAACACUGGGCUGUUCACUGUCCACACUGGGAAAGAUGACAUCAGAAAAGUCCACAAAGUUGACUCCUGGAAUGGCCUCCGAGAGUUGACCUACUGGGGUACUCCUCAGUGUAACAUGAUCAAUGGAACAGCUGGACAGAUGUGGCCACCGUUUAUGACCAAAGAGAGCACCCUGCCCUUCUACAGCCCUGAUGCUUGCCGGUCUAUGGAACUUGUUUACAAGCAGUCUGGCAGCUUUAAGGGGAUCCCAUCAUAUCGGUUUGUUGCUCCUAAGACCUUGUUUGCUAAUGGAAUGGAUUACGCUCCCAAUGAAGGCUUCUGUCCCUGCAGGCAGUCCGGUGUGCUCAACGUCAGCACCUGCCACCAUAACUCCCCGACCUUCAUCUCUCACCCUCACUUUUUGAAUGGUGAUCCGGUUCUACGAGAGUUUGUGUUGGGCCUUCAUCCCACUGAGGAGGAGCACGGUCUCUUCAUCGACAUCCAUCCGCUAACUGGUGUCCCUCUGAAUGUGUCCGUCCGCCUGCAGCUCAACCUCUACAUGAAGAGUGUGUCAGGAUUUACAGAAACAGGGAAGAUUUCUGAGGUGGUGAUGCCCAUGCUGUGGUUUGAGGAGAAAGGGUAUAUAGAUGGGCCAGCCCUCACCACAUUCCACACUAACCUGGUUGUUCUGCCUGCUGUGAUGGAGUACAUGCAGUACAUCUUCAUAGCUCUCGGUCUGGCAACAAUUAUUGUUGCCUCUCUGGUGCAUUACAAAGCAAAGAGCUCUAGACAUGUGUCUGUAAUCUCCACAGUCACAGAAAAACUUGAGAAUAAAGAUAAAUUCUGUAGAUUAAACAUGAAGUGUUAUCUGGUUAAACAAACAGGAAGCAUGGCAAACAACAUUUUAUUUACAGCACAUAAUAUGAUGAAUUGGAUUUCCUGUGUUUAAUGUCCACUGGGGGUAAAGAGAAAAUCACUGUAACAGAUGUACCCACCAGUUAUAUAGCAUGGCAUCAUCAUCAUCAGUAAGAUUCAUCUGUAUAUAUCAAUGAUGAGCAUUGCUGUCGAGAAUACCGACUUAUUCACUUGUUUUUAAAACAUUAAUCCCCACUUAUGACUUCAAUGCUUUUCACAACACACUUUAUUCAGUCAAUGCUAAUUAAUAUAUAAAAAUAUCAGCUUAACAAGUUGGUUUUGAAAUCACUGAAACCCAUGCACUGACUAACCAAUGCUUCAUAACAAAACAUUCUAAACAAGGUAGCGCUGCUGUAAACAUAAAUCCACCGUAUUAACAAGGGCUAAUGUUAGCAACAGUUUUCAAGUCAUUGUUUCAGAGGACGUUAAAGAACAGGAGGACAUCCCUGCGUUCAGCAGGAAGAAACACUUGUGAGACAAACAGAAGUCUCCAAAGCAGUAAGAUGGGAAACUAAAGAUGGGAACAGAUUUAAAGCCACUGAGAAAUUGAAUGAAACCAAUAAAUCUCUUAAAAUCACAUAUUUCUGUCCUGACGGAUUCUCUAAUGAUUUAUAUAUUUAUAAAUAAAGCAGCAUCAUAAUCCUGAAGAGAUCCAAUAAUCAGACAAUAAAUCAAACGCAUGUCUUUUAACUUGCAUGUUUGCCUUGAUUACCAAUAAUAUAAAAAAAUAACACAUACCCUCUAAACUACCAUAAUCUACCAUAACAAGAUGAAUGACAACAGCAAAUUCUUGUUUUGUAUUGUCUAAUUGGUGCAUGUGUAAGGUAGUUUGGUCAUCUUUUAGGCAACCGAUAAUGAGCAGGUUAAAGGCUCACAUGGCUAUGAAACUCAGGAGAAAAGUACGAGUUAAUCAGAGACAUGAACGUGAAAGCAACGCAGUAC